rnacentral:rRNA from 1 species
GGCUAACGCCGGUCCGGCGGCGGCGGGAAUACGGAGGGUGCAAGCGUUAAUCGGAAUUACUGGGCGUAAAGCGCACGCAGGCGGUCAAUUAAGUCAGAUGUGAAAGCCCCGAGCUUAACUUGGGAAUUGCAUCUGAAACUGGUUGGCUAGAGUCUUGUAGAGGGGGGUAGAAUUCCAUGUGUAGCGGUGAAAUGCGUAGAGAUGUGGAGGAAUACCGGUGGCGAAGGCGGCCCCCUGGACAAAGACUGACGCUCAGGUGCGAAAGCGUGGGGAGCAAACAGGAUUAGAUACCCCUGUAGC